UCACAGUCUCAAGCGUGGCUUGCUGUUGGGCCCGUUGUCACUUGGUGACAGGCCCGAAAGACAAUGACCGGUGUAACAGACUCCAGAUGCAACGAGCUUAUUACAGCAGGCAUCCGGCAAGUUGUGUGACCCGGUUUUCACCCUUUCUUUUUCAA
rnacentral:misc_RNA from 1 species